ACUUGAGCUAUUGCGAACGCGGGAAGCGAUGUCUCACCAAAUUUCCAUGUUUGAGGUGCUACCAAGGAAGCAAUUGUCUAACAAGAUUUUUAUGCAUAGAUUGAAAAGUUGAACUUAGUUAUCAAGGAGCUCGUUAAGGAAAAUGAUGAAGAAAAAGAAAGGCUAAAUGGAAUUAUUGCCGGGUUGUUGGCUGAAAAAGAAAAAGAUAAGGUGGAUAACGAUGCUAUGCUCGAUACGAUGUCACAAAUUGAAGUUGUUUACAAAUACAAUUUGAAGAUAGGCUACAAAUAUUUGGUUUUGAAUGUUUCGAUGUUUAUCGUAUUAGGAUUUUUUAGUUAUUUGAUGUUUUAGCUGGUAUUUCUAUUAGAAUGUUUUAUAUGCUUUU
rnacentral:lncRNA from 1 species